AUUGAUCUAGCUGGCAGAACCAGAGUGUGCUCUUUAAACACAUUUGUCCCUGUGUAAUUGCUGUGCACACAUUCUGUGCUCUGGAGGUAUGGGAUUGAUACCCGUCCGUCAACUCUCUGGCAAAGAAGGAACUAUAAUCCCAUUUCAGGGACUGAGCCUUGCCAUCUUCUAAGGGUUCAAAUGUGCCUUUAUAGAUAUUUCACUGAACUAAUAGGAAUGAGAAGAUAUUAUCUCACAUUUGGCAAGUUGCUAUGAAGUCAUAACUUAAAUUAAGCACAAGGCUGAUGUUCUCACCAUAAGACAGUAAGUUGCUUGUCUGGUUAUUUGUUAGCUGAGCAAUUCUGGGAAGAGAAUGAAAAACAUUUUGUUGAUGAGAAUCUGUAUUCAUCAGUUUUUGUACAAGACUAAGAACUCGGCAUGCUUUUACAUUGGAAAUUUGGUAAUUAAUAUCAGAAGCUGACAAACGGUUUAUAUCAGAAGGUGGAAUCGUGGGUAUGGUCGAUGUGGCAGGUCCUAAACAUAAAUUGGAAACAUAGCAUCUCAGAUCCAGAAGAGGACCUUGGCCUACCAUAUGCCUAAUGCUUGAAUUUCCUUACCUGUCCAAGAAGUCCCUUAUGAUGUACUCUUGUAAUACCAUCUUUCAUCCUUAGACAACUUAACUGAUAUGAAGUUCAAACUUAUAUUGCCUGCUUGACUGUGGUUUCAACACCUUAUACCUAAUAUCACUCCUAGGACCAUAAGGGGUAAAUCUUUCACAUGACUGCUCCUACAGUUGUUUGAAGCCAUCAAUGAUAUUCACUCAUAGAGGGCUUUGAGGCUUACCAACCUUUGCUACAACAAUAUUCCUCAGGAGACAGUCUUGAGUACAGUGCCUGCAAUACAUUUUGUUAUCAUUGCAUAAUUAAUUGAUAAUUGUAUUCAAAUUCUUUCUUCAAUAUCAUAGGCUCUCUCCCUUAGGCAUCUCAAAUUUAUCUUCACAGCUUUUCAACUGCAAAUUUAAGAACAAAAUGUAAAACCUCUGAUACCUCUAAGCAGCAUAAUAAAAUGAAGGUUUUAAGGCCUUCUUUUGCUCCAUAAUAUACGUAUGUCAGUGUGGCAUAGGUUAUUAGCUACCAUUUAUUGUGCAAUUAUAAUGUACUUGGAACUAAGCUAAGUACAUAUUAUCUCAUUUAAUUUUCACUAUUUUGUAAAAUUGAAGAUAUGUAUUUGUUUUAUAUUUUAAGAAACUGAAGCCAGAGAAGCAAAACAAUUGCUCAAAGUCAUUCAGUUAGUUAAUGAGGCAACAAGAUUUGAAACCAAGUUUGUCUAAUCUCAAAGCUCAUACUUUUAACCAUUAUUUUAUUACUGCCUUUGUAGAUGCUUGGCAACCUCAUUAAAGCAUUAACAUAUGUUGAA
rnacentral:lncRNA from 1 species